rnacentral:lncRNA from 1 species
GCAUUGAUACAGGGGUGGUGCAGCACGGUAGCAUGAUAUACCCUGGCUGCAAAAGGCUUGCUGCCCAGUCCAAGGCCAGCAGUGUUGUGUCUGGCCUGUAAGAGGCAGGUAGCAAGCCAUGAAUAUGUCCAAAGGCCCUCGAAUGCCAUUCCUGGGCCUUGUAAGAGGCACUUGCUUUGCUCCAUUUCACUUUCUUUCCAUUCUGCUUUUUAGUUUGUUUUUGUUUUGGAUUCUUUUAACAGUUAAGUGUUCUUCUGUCUCAUUCCAUUAAGCUUAACCAUGUCAGAUAUAAUAGAGAAAUAUUUUCACAGGCUCUUAAAUGAUUAAACUAAUAUUUCUCAAAAGUACUCACUUGGAAUUGGAAAAAAUGAUCCUUUGAAACUGAGAAAAGGUAUUUAAAGGCAGUUUCUAUCUGAGAGCUUUGUUCAUUCAGUAUAUUUGGCCAGUAAUCUUUAUCAAGUUGAUGUUAAAAUGUCUAUUUUUGCUUCUUCUGAAGCAUAUAUACUUCUUAUCUCUGAGGAUGUAGAACAUUAAUUACUUAUAUUCACAUGUUCCUAAGCAACAUGUAUUUAUAAAUUGAUACACUCCUAAAAUUUAUGUGGAUGUAUGAUUUCCCUGGCUUUGAAGAUGCUCUAGGCCUUCCUCGUAUUUGCCCUUAAACUGAACCCUUGAGUUCCCAAAGUUUAGGCUUUCUUUGUUUGUCUUUGAAACUACAUCUUCUGUCUCUUGUCAUCAUAUCUGCUUAUUGCGUGUUUUUCAUACUUUCCACCUCUCUUAAGAGCUGUUACCUGAGCCCUUGUUAUCACUUUUGAUUGUGCUGCACUUAGCUGCAUUUCUAAGUUUCUGAUUCUUGCAAGUUUUGUGGAAACACAGGAGUCUUUAACCCACAUCAGCCUUGAUCUAAACGUACCACUUUACUUAAAAGUUCGUGGGAUCUGGAGCUCCUGGUCUAGCAAGCCAUGAAAAUGCCAAUAAAUGUUUUGUAAUAAAGCUUUUAUUUAAACAUCCAUUUUGUUCGACCUUGAAGCUUUACUAAUAUGCUGAAGAACAAACAGCCGAUGCCAGUGAAUAUUCGAGCUUCGAUGCAGCAACAACAGCAGCUAGCCAGUGCCAGAAACAGAAGACUGGCCCAGCAGAUGGAGAAUAGACCCUCUGUCCAGGCAGCAUUAAAACUUAAGCAGGUGAGAGAAUGUGUCUUAAUGCUCUGAAGCAGCUGGUGGUCUGUGUCAGUCCGCUGAGUGCCAUGGAUGAUGACAGAGGCUCAGGGCCAAACCUGAAGCUUCUAUGAAAGGGAAGUUCAGAGAAUUCCAAUUUUGGCAGGUACUGAUAAAUAAUGUUUUAUUAUUUCUGUUUUAGGGAGUUUGCCAUCUGUGUGGCCUGUUUGUGUUAUCAGUGACUAUUAAUCUCUUACGUUUGGUCCUUUACCCUAAAAGUGGAUUUAAUGGAUUUUUUUUGAUACAAAGAACCUUUGUUUCAGGUUGGGGUAUAGCUCAAAAGAAGAGCACUUGCCUACCAUGUGCAAGGCCAUGGAUUUGAUCCCCAGCACUGCCCAAAAAAAGAGAAGGAAAGAAACUAUUUGUGUUUAGAUGAUCUUCAAAAUAUCCUUUACUUCCUGUUAAGUGAUCUAUAUCCUAGGGAAAUAAUUUUAUUCUUCCCUAUACAGGGAAUUUGGCCUUAGUCAAAAGUUUUCAGUGCUAAAAUAUACAAAAAGUAUAGUGACUUUUGUUUCCACAGCACCUGAAGUUUUAUCAGUACAUUAGAGCAAGAGUUCUGAGUAGCUAACUUAAGAAUUAGUGAGGUUCUCUUUCAAAUUUCCAGUAAGAGAUAAAUCUAUUCAGACCUGAAAUAAAACCUGCUCUUUAUUAUUCAUAGACUUUAUAUGCAAGUCCGGACAUUGGCUGUGGAAGGAUAUGUCCAAGCUGUGGCUGGGCGUCCGGAGGGCGAUGCCAUGCAACUGUAAGGACUUUAACUGGUAGCACUGCAUGGCUGUGCAUAAAUUCAGCAGUUAAAUAUAACACCCUCCCACCCUUAUUCUGAACCACUGGCUCACUGACCAAAAAUAAACAAGGCUUUCUGCUUCAGUUACCUUAAGCCUUGUAGGACUGGAUCCAUCUCUGACUCGGGAAAGCCAGAAGCAAAAGGCACCAACAAAGGACCUUUCAGCAUGAAGCUUUCAGUAUAGGCUGUGCGAGAAGUAACCUCCAGAGCAACACUGUCAGACGCUUCUGUGAUGAUGGAAAUGCUCUGCGCUGUCCAGUACAGUAACCACUAGCCACAUACGGCUAUUCAGAACUUUAAAUGUAGCUAGUGCUGUGGAGGAGCUUCAAUAGCCACAUGUGUCCAGUGGCUGUCUCAAAUAGCAGCUUUAGAGUGGAAACCAGUGGUAUAGUGGACAUCCUUAAGUGUCCUAUCAAUGUUAGAAGCCAAGAUUGGUAGCAGCUAGGGAUGGGGAUAGGAGGAGAACUCUAGGCACUGUGUAGUUCUUCAUUGAAGCAUAGAACUCGGGAGAAUCGAUAUAUUCAGGAAAACUGAACAUAAGGCACUUACAGAAUAUAGUCUUGACCUCAUGAUUGUGUGCUGGGGCUCUGAGUGUAGCUCAGUGGUAGAGCAUGCGUAAGGGUAUGGAUUUGACCCCUAGCACUACAAAAACAAAAUAAUUGUGUGCUAAGUAGAAGAGUGAGGACAGUCCCUUAAAGUUGGUUGCACCUCCUGUGCUAGAUGUCUUUCUCUACUGAUCAGAAGCGGCUUGUUAUCUUUAUCUUGUGCCUAGGAAGUUAUGCCUCACAGCACAAGAGGGCUACUAUUGGCCAGAGGGGGACAAGUUAUUUGUGGGUUGAACCUGAGUGUGCAUAAACUUCAUUUACAUUCAUGUUGUAGAAAAAUAGGCCUUGGUUGUGUGUUCAAAGCUACAUUGAUGAAAUUUCUUUUGAAGAAUUUUUUAAGAUGUGAUCCUCAAGGAUUUAUUUUUUUGAGAACAGAUUAUUGAAAAUGUAUCUCUGUAGUAUGUCCUUGUCCUCAUAUGUGCCCCUUUGUGGUUAAAGUUCACCUGUGUUAAUUCUAACAGUUUGGCUGGCUCUCUGGAGAUAUAUUUUUGUUUAUUUUGAAUUAAAAGUUAUAAUAUUGGCUUAAGGGAGCUGUUUGCAAGUGUAGAUAUGGAAUUAUGGAUUUCUAAGAAAUUUAAGGAAAGGAAGUUUGACUCUUGUGUUUAUUUGCAUCUUAAGGUAAAAAGUGGACCGUCUGGAGAUAGAUACUCAAAGGAAAAAUGGAGCACACUGGCCUCUUUGACUGAAAAAUCAAUCUUGUUCUUAAGUCAAAAGAAUUCAAAUGAACUUGUAAUUUAAAUUGUGCCCAGAGUGUGGUGAACUUCCUGUGGUGUUUGAGUAAGCCUUUGAAGACAGUAGUAGUUCCUGGGCAGGUAUGAAUUAAGUCAUGUCAUUGUCAACCUGGGGUUCAGAAACAGCAAGUGUUCUUAUUAAAACCUAAGUUCCAGCUGAUGGUAUAUGACUUCUAUAGCCAAAUCAGUGAGGUGAUUUGUGGUGAUGCCAAUUUCAUGGGGUCAUACUGAAGCUUCUUAGAGUUUAUGCUCUGGAAUUCUUUUAUAGCAUGUUCUGAGAACAAAGGUUUCUGAUUUGGGAUCCUUAAUGAUACCCACAGCAGGUUAUUUCCCGCCAUCUCACUUGCUUCCUUUUCUCUGCACUUAGAAUUGCCACCUCUCACUGAAUUGCUUUUUUGAUCUCAAUCCUCCAACACCUUUUCUUCCAGAAGAGCUUAAAGCAGCGCCUGGGUAAGAGUAACAUCCAGGCACGGUUAGGCCGACCCAUAGGGGCCCUGGCCAGGGGAGCAAUUGGAGGACGAGGUCUGCCCAUAAUCCAGAGAGGCUUAUCCAGAGGAGGACUACGUGGGGGACGUGCCACCAGAACCCUGCUUAGGGGCGGGAUGUCGCUCCGAGGUCAGUGCUUUGUGUACCUGAUAACUGUUGGGCCCUGUCCCCUUUCCUUUUCUCUUGGGCUGCUUAUGGACACAUUUGUUUAACAUCUUUAAUACUAAAUUUGUAUUAAUAUAAUUAAUAACUUUUGAAAUCACAUUUUUAGUAGUGCUGCAUGCCUUUUAUUGAUACCAUUCCUUUUCUGGUAAUGUGCAAUGGUGAGAGGCUAUGACCUGCAUAACAGGUAAUUCAUGUCAUCUCCAUUUCAUUUUAAAGCACCCUGCUGCUGCUUGAAUCAAAGCACAUUCAAGUUGUAGAAAUAAGUCAAGUUUAAGAAAUGUAUGUUAGCAUAUAUAUGAGGCCAUGGGUUCAAUCCCCAGCACCAAAAAAAUAAAGAAAUGUAUGGGUCUUCGGCCUAUAUCAAAACUAAACAUGUCUGUUCCUGGUGCUAGCACAACACUGUUAAUCAUCUGAAAGAAAGAGAGGAAAAGUUGACCAAUAGUACUUAACCUAUAUCUUGUAAUUUGGGCACUGCUAUUCUAUUCCCUGUAUAGUUUUUAAAUUUGUUAAAAGUAUGUACUUAAUUAACUCCCAACUUCCCAAGAUGGAUUUGUGGUCAGAAAUGUUGAACUGAUACAAAUAAUGAGCAACUUAAUCUGGUCACACUCUCAAGUGUGCAGCUUGCCCUACCCAGCUUACGAACUAACUGAAUUACUUUAAUUUAACCCUCACCGCCUUCCUUUGGUUAGAAUCUACUUUUGUUUCUCUUGGAUUUACCUGCAUAUACAUUGUAUGCCUCCUCUCCAAGGUCAAAACCUGCUCCGAGGUGGACGAGCCGUAGCUCCCCGAAUGGGCUUAAGAAGAGGUGGUGUUCGAGGUCGUGGAGGUCCUGGGAGAGGGGGCCUAGGGCGUGGAGCUAUGGGUCGUGGCGGAAUCGGUGGUAGAGGUUAGUCAGCUACCAACUUCAGAGAGUAGCUCCCCCUAUUUCCUUCCUUUAAAAACUCAGAGCCACCUUUCUGCACAGCUUCAAGUCACAGGCAGGCUUGUUUGUUUGUCUUGUUUUGUUUUUUGAAACUGGCUUAUUUCCUAAAUUCAC